rnacentral:rRNA from 1 species
UGCAGUCGAACGGGAUUGAGAAGCUUGCUUUUCAUGAGAGUGGCGCACGGGUGCGUAACACGUAUGUAACCUACCUUAAUCUGGGGGAUAGCCUCUCGAAAGAGAGAUUAACACCGCAUAACAUUAUCGGAUAGCAUUUUCUGAUAAUCAAAUAUUUAUAGGAUUAAGAUGGGCAUGCGGAACAUUAGCUAGUUGGUAAGGUAAUGGCUUACCAAGGCUACGAUGUUUAGGGGAUCUGAGAGGAUGACCCCCCACACUGGUACUGAGACACGGACCAGACUCCUACGGGAGGCAGCAGUAAGGAAUAUUGGUCAAUGGGCGCAAGCCUGAACCAGCCAUGCCGCGUGCAGGAAGACGGCCCUACGGGUUGUAAACUGCUUUUGUACCGGAAUAAACCUUUUCACGUGUGAGAAGCUGAAUGUACGGUAAGAAUAAGGAUCGGCUAACUCCGUGCCAGCAGCCGCGGUAAUACGGAGGAUCCAAGCGUUAUCCGGAUUUAUUGGGUUUAAAGGGUGCGUAGGCGGUUCUUUAAGUCAGGGGUGAAAGACGGUAGCUUAACUAUCGCAGUGCCUUUGAUACUGAAGAACUUGAAUACACUUGAGGUAGGCGGAAUGUGACAAGUAGCGGUGAAAUGCAUAGAUAUGUCACAGAACACCAAUUGCGAAGGCAGCUUACUAAAG